rnacentral:rRNA from 1 species
GUGCUGGAAGGUUAAGGACAGGGGGUAGCAUAAGCGAAGCCCUUAACUGAGCCCUCAGUAAACUGCGGCCGUAACUAUCACGGUCCUGAGAUUGCGAACUUCCUUUUCCGUUUAACUUCCGACCCGCACUAAAGGUGUAACGAUUUGGGCACUGUCUCAACCAGAGACUCUGUGAAAUUAUAGUACCUGUGAAGAUGCAGGUUACCCGCGACAGGACGGAAAGACCCCGUGGAGCUUUACUGUAGAAUGAUAUUGAAUUUUGGUAUAGUUUGUAAAGGAGAGGAGGAAGAAAUUGAAAAAGGAG